rnacentral:rRNA from 1 species
GACCGAGGGUGCAAACGUUGUUCGGAUUUACUGGGCGUAAAGCGCGUGUAGGCGGCUUGGCAAGUCGGCUGUGAAAGCCCACGGCUCAACCGUGGAAGCGCAUCCGAAACUGCUUCGCUCGAGUCUCGGAGAGGAAGGUGGAAUGCUUGGUGUAGAGGUGAAAUUCGUAGAUAUCAAGCAGAACACCUGCGGAGAAGGCGGCCUUCGGGACGAUGACUGACGCUGAGACGAGAAAGCGGGGGGAGCAAACAGG